GCCUGCCCUGUGACUAAUGUUUAACGGCCGCGGUAUUCUGACCGUGCAAAGGUAGCGCAAUCAAUUGUCUUUUAAAUGAAGACCUGUAUGAAUGGCACAACGAGGGCUAAACUGUCUCCUCCUUCCAGUCAAUGAAAUUGAUCUUCCCGUGCAGAAGCGGGAAUAAUAACAUAAGACGAGAAGACCCUAUGGAGCUUAAAACGCAAGGAUAGACCAUAUCACUUACCCUGAAUUAACAGAUCAAGACAACUGUAAACUAUCCUAGUGUUUUUGGUUGGGGCGACCGCGGGGUAAAAUAAAACCCCCAUGUAGAACGAAAAUACAUUUUUUUUAUUCAAGGGAAACAACCCUAAAAACCAGAACCUCUGACUUUUUGAUCCGGUAACACCGAUCAACGAACCGAGUUACCCUAGGGAUAACAGCGCAAUCUUCUUUUAGAGCCCAUAUCGACAAGAGGGUUUACGACCUCGAUGUUGGACCAGGACAUCCUAAUGGUGCAGCCGCUAUUAAGGGUUCGUUUGUUCAACGAUUAAAGUCCUACGUGAUCUGA
rnacentral:rRNA from 1 species